rnacentral:rRNA from 2 species
GAGGAAAAGAAACCAACAGGGAUUGCCUCAGUAACGGCGAGUGAAGCGGCAAGAGCUCAACUUUGGAAUCGCUGCGGCGAGUUGUAGUCUGGAGGUGGCCGGUCCCGGCGCCAGCGCGCAGCCAAGUCCUUUGGAACAAGGCGCCUGAGAGGGUGACAGCCCCGUGGCAGUUUGUGCUGGUGCCGCCUCGGCCCACCGACGAGUCGAGUUGUUUGGGAAUGCAGCUCUAAGUGGGUGGUAAAUUCCAUCUAAAGCUAAAUACCGGCGAGAGACCGAUAGCGAACAAGUACAGUAAUGGAAAGAUGAAAAGCACUUUGAAAAGAGAGUGAAACAGUACGUGAAAUUGUUGAAAGGGAAGGGCUUGCACCCAGACACGGCCUUCUGGCCGGGCCAGCAUCGGGUGGGAGGGAGCGACAACGAGCAGUCGAUGUAGUACAGCCCUCUGGGCUGUGCAUUAUACGUCUUGCUUUCUGGCUCCUCUCCCGCCCGAGGACCGCAGCAAUAAGGAUGCUGGCGCAAUGGUUGCAAGCCACCCGU